AAAGUACUCCCUCCGUCCCAAAAUUCCUGUCUUAGAUUUGUCUAGAUAUGGAUGUAUCAAGUCACAUUUUAGUAUUAGAUACAUCCGUAUCUAGACAAAUCUAAGACAAGAAAUUUGGGACAGAGGGAUUAGUUG
rnacentral:pre_miRNA from 1 species